rnacentral:rRNA from 1 species
AGUGGGGAAUAUUGCACAAUGGGCGAAAGCCUGAUGCAGCCAUGCCGCGUGUAUGAAGAAGGCCUUCGGGUUGUAAAGUACUUUCAGCAGUGAGGAAGGGUAUGUAGUUAAUAACUGCAUAUCUUGACGUUAGCUGCAGAAGAAGCACCGGCUAACUCCGUGCCAGCAGCCGCGGUAAUACGGAGGGUGCGAGCGUUAAUCGGAAUUACUGGGCGUAAAGCGCAUGCAGGUGGUUUGUUAAGUCAGAUGUGAAAGCCCGGGGCUCAACCUCGGAAUUGCAUUUGAAACUGGCAGGCUAGAGUACUGUAGAGGGGGGUAGAAUUUCAGGUGUAGCGGUGAAAUGCGUAGAGAUCUGAAGGAAUACCAGUGGCGAAGGCGGCCCCCUGGACAGAUACUGACACUCAGAUGCGAAAGCGUGGGGAGCAAA